CCUACGGGAGGCAGCAGUGGGGAAUAUUGCACAAUGGGGGAAACCCUGAUGCAGCGACGCCGCGUGAGUGAAGAAGUAAUUCGUUACGUAAAGCUCUAUCAGCAGGGAAGAAAAUGACGGUACCUGAAGAAAAAGCAUCGGCUAACUCCGUGCCAGCAGCCGCGGUAAUACGGAGGAUGCGAGCGUUAUCCGGAUUUAAUGGGUUUAAAGGGUGCGCAGGCGGAAUGUCAAGUCAGCGGUAAAAUUUCGGGGCUCAACCCCGUCGUGCCGUUGAAACUGGCGUUCUUGAGUGAGCGAGAAGUAUGCGGAAUGCGUGGUGUAGCGGUGAAAUGCAUAGAUAUCACGCAGAACUCCGAUUGCGAAGGCAGCAUACCGGCGCUCAACUGACGCUCAUGCACGAAAGCGUGGGUAUCGAACAGGAUUAGAUACCCCUGUAGUC
rnacentral:rRNA from 1 species